CUACGGGGCGCUCCAGUGAGGAAUAUUGCACAAUAGGGGGAACCCUGAUGCAGCAACGCCGCGUGGAGGAUGACGCAUUUCGGUGUGUAAACUCCUUUUAUAUGUCAAGAAAAUGACGGUAGCAUAUGAAUAAGCACCGGCUAACUCCGUGCCAGCAGCCGCGGUAAUACGGAGGGUGCAAGCGUUACUCGGAAUCACUGGGCGUAAAGGACGCGUAGGCGGGUUGGAAAGUCAGGUGUGAAAUCCUACAGCUUAACUGUAGAACUGCACUUGAAACUUCUAAGCUAGAGUAUGGGAGGGGGAGAUGGAAUUAGUGGUGUAGGGGUAAUAUCCGUAGAUAUCACUAGGAAUACCUAAAGCGAAGGCGAUCUCCUGGAACAUUACUGACGCUAAGGCGUGAAAGCGUGGGGAGCAAACAGGAUUAGAUACCCCCGUAGUC
rnacentral:rRNA from 1 species